CAGACUAAGACUAUUUUUUAUUCUUCUUUUCUCUUUUUUUUUCCUCCUCCCUCCCCCCUUCAACUUCUUCCUGCCAGGUUCCUUUUACUAUUCCCCAAGCAAUGCUCAAAACAUCUACAUGUUAAGCCAAGUUAGAUGAAGGUGAACUAAAAGCUCCUCGCCUUGGGUGAAGAUCUAGAGGGACAAGACUGAACACACUGCCAAGAACCUACGUAACUUAUGUCUUCAAAAGGGCCUCCAGUUCAACCUUACUUAUAUUUACUACUUUUGUGAAUGGAAACCUACACUAAAUUUUCUUCCCUGAGAGCUGAAAAUGGAGUUGCUUUUAAGUUUCAACUGAAUUUGAGACAUCUUUAGAUCCAGAUGCUGUUCUUCCUGCUCUUCCUUCAAUCUGUGGCCUGUUCAAGUUAACUAUACGCUGAGGACCUCUAGGAACAGGAGCUAUGAAGAAUUAUUUUUUUUCCUUCUUGCCUAUCAGCAGAUUUAUCAGGGAAUGCAUAGUUCCAUCUACAGAAGGAACGCUGCUGUUCAGAUUAACUCCUUCUAGGCAUGAAAAGCCCAUGCAGAGCAGGUAACAGAAUGAAAUAACUGCACUCUAGCAUCCUCUGUUUAAAAAUAAAUAAACUCAUUCAUUUUUGUUUAUACCA
rnacentral:lncRNA from 1 species